UUUGGUUAUGCUGAUAAGAGCGUAUGGUGGAUGCCUUGGCACUAAGAGCCGAUGAAAGACGUGAUAAGCUGCGAAAAGCUUCGGGGAGGGGCAAAUACCCAUCGAUCCGGAGAUUUCUGAAUGGGGAAACCUAACUGAGCAAACCUCAGUUAUCCUGACGCCAAUCCAUAACGUCAGGAAGGGAACCCGGUGAACUGAAACAUCUAAGUAGCCGGAGGAAGAGAAAACAACAUGUGAUUCUGUGAGUAGCGGCGAGCGAAAACGGAAGAGCCCAAACCGGGAUGCGUGCAUCCCGGGGUUCGGACCGCGGAAUUGAUUCAACAAGUUUAGCAGAACAGUUUUGGGAAAGCUGACCAAAGAGGGUGAAAGUCCCGUAAGCGAAAGGCGAGUUGACAUGGCGGUAUCCAGAGUAGGUCGAGACACGUGGAACCUUGACUGAAUAUGCGGGGACCACCCCGUAAGGCUAAAUACUCCUUAGUGACCGAUAGCGCAUAGUACUGUGAAGGAAAGGUGAAAAGGACCCCGGGAGGGGAGUGAAAAAGAACCUGAAACCAUAUGUUUACAAGCUGUGGAACAUCUUUAUAUGAUGAACCGCGUACUUUUUGUAGAACGGUCCGGCGAGUUACGCUGGCUGGCGAGGUUAAGCACUGAAGGUGCGGAGCCGAAGGGAAACCAAGUCUGAACAGGGCGAAAGUCAGUCGGAGUAGACCCGAAACCGGGUGAUCUAUCCAUGUCCAGGUUGAAGUUGCCGUAAAAGGCAAUGGAGGACCGAACCCACAUCCGUUGAAAAGGGUGGGGAUGAGGUGUGGAUAGGGGAGAAAUUCCAAUCGAACCCGGAGAUAGCUGGUUCUCCUCGAAAUAGCUUUAGGGCUAGCCUCAUACAAGUCUUGCGGAGGUAGAGCACUGAAUUCCUACGGGGGCGUCAAAGCUUACCAAGGGAUAUCAAACUCCGAAUGCCGUGUAGAUGAUGUAUGGGAGUCAGACUAUCCGAGAUAAGUUGGGUAGUCGAAAGGGAAAGAGCCCAGACCUGCAGCUAAGGCCCCAAAAUGUGUGUUAAGUGGAAAAGGAUGUGGGAUUUCGAAGACAACUAGGAUGUUGGCUUAGAAGCAGCCAUCCAUUAAAAGAGUGCGUAAUAGCUCACUAGUCGAGAGGUCCUGCGCCGAAAAUGUCCGGGGCUGAAACACACUGCCGAAGCUCAGGGAUGAACAGUGAUCAAUACAGAUCAAUGUAAGAGGAAAGCUUCUUGAUGAAAUCAAGAAGAUUCCAAAACAGAUGAAACAGACUGCUGUUGGUCUGCGUUGAUCACUGUUCAUCGGUAGAGGAGCAUUCUUAAAGAGACGAAGCUGUACCGAAAGGAGCAGUGGAUUUUUAAGAAGAGAGAAUGCCGGAAU
rnacentral:rRNA from 1 species